CGAUUAGUUCACACACAAACACAUCACGUGACUGACUGAUAAAAUAUAAAAAGUCAAAUAAGAUUGAAACGAUUUAUCUAAAUUUUGUCGCAAUAACAUACACACAUACACAACAAAUAUGAAAUUUACAACUGUGUCGGUGUUACUCGUCAUUUGCGCAGUUACUGUGCAGUGUUGUACCGUGGACUCAGACUGUAACCACUUGACCUGCGGGGCUGGUCAAGAUCCAUACUGCCAUGGUAACCACUGCCAUUGUCAUCACGUACAUGAAUGCACAAGUGACACCGAUUGUCAUGGUCACUGCAAUGCCGGAGGUGUCCCAACAUGCGAUGACAAUGGACACUGUCACUGUUAAGGUGUGGAUGCGAAACUUGACUUGAAAUGGCAAAACAAAAAAUAAUGAUAUCAAAUAAAAAUAAAUUGUACUAAUAAAAUCAUUUUAACGUGAA